GAUCCUCUUGCCUCAGCCUUCUGAGUCACUGGGAUUAUGGGUGUGCAUCACUGUGCUGAGCCAUGAAUAGCUUUAAAAAUUAAACAAAAUGCAUAUGCAAAGGUAUUUUCCUAGAAAAAUAAUAGGCUAAAGGACAUAAACAGGAUGCGAGACACUUUGAUGUAGCCAAGAUAUCCCUGGGGACAUUUAGAAGGAGCCCUAUUAACCCAGCUGUUAUGAUGUAUCAGUGUGCCACAGCUGCCCCAGUGAAAAUGUGCCUGCCCUUCCUCUGUCCCUAACCUCAGGUACACAGGACUUGUACUUCCUACUUUGUUCCUUCCUGCAUUAAUUUCAUUGACAAAUAUUUGUUAAUUAAAAUCAGGGAGAAAAGAGAAGAAAGGGGCUAUGGAUAUAGCACAGUUAAUAGAGUGCUUGCCUCUCAUGCACAAGGCCUUGCGUUCAAACCCCAGCAUCACACACAAACACACACACACACACACACACAUACACAGAAAUGCUGUUAGGGUUAGCUUCUUAAGGUGGAACCAAAAUCAUCCUUUGGGGGUUGAGGGUGUGGCCAAGAGGUAGAGUAUCUGUUAGCACACAAGGCCCUGGAUUCCAUCACUAGCAUUGGGGGGGAAAUCUAAUCUUCAAAAAUAUGUGUCAUAGUAAAUACAAUAUUUUCAUAUUGAAUCCUGAGAGAAAAGUUGGAAAUUCAGUUAAAUAUUUCCUCUGCAGUCUGUAUCUGAAAAUAAGGAAUCUUAUUGUGUGUUUCUUAAAUUUGUUGACUUGUUCUUUUUUUUUUAUUCACCAGCUUCUCAUUUUUAAAUUGGAGCUUUAUAGUUAUAUGUAGUAGUUCUGUUCACCCUGACAAGCUCAUACAUGCAUGGAAAUAGAUUUCAGUUUAUCUUACUGUAUUUUGAAUACCUUCCUGUUCCCCUUCACUUACGUUUCUAUAUAUCCAAUUCAUUUGUUCACUCCAUGGGUACUUACCGAACCUACUGUGUGCCAGGCACAGUUAGAGAUUGGGAAUCCAACAGUAAAGUGAAAACAGUCCUUUAUGCCCUCAUGAAGCAAACAUGAGGGAGGGCCAUAUUAAAUAUGUAUUAUAAAAUGUUGACAUUUGAAAUUUCUGUGAAAAUAAUCCAAUGAAAUGGGAGGAAUAGGGCAGAUACAGAAUAAACUACAGUGCCCUUAUGUUUAUGAUUAUGAUAUUAUGAUUAAUUGUUGGUACUGGUUACAUGGGAUUCAUUAUGCAUUGUAAAAAAAUUCCAUAGCAAAUAGGUUUUUUUUAGGGAGGAGGUACCAGGGAUUGAACUCAGGGGCACUCAACCACUGAGCCACAUCCCCAGCCCUAUUUGUAUUUUACUUAGAGAGAGGGUCUCACUGAGUUGCUUAGUGUCUCACUUUUGUUGAGGCUGGUUUUGAACUUGCAAUCCUCCUGCCUCAGCCUUCUAAGACACUGGGAUUACAGGCCCAUGCCACUGAGCCUGGCUCACAAUCUCUACUCUUGUGGUGUGUACAAUAACUAAUAGAUAUAUAUGUUAUCCAGUGUAUCAUGAGGAGAAUAGUACUAUGGAAAACAGAGCAAGGUAAAGGGGAUUGAGAGGCAGAUGUAAGGGCCUGGUUGUAAUUUGAAAUAUGGUAUGCAAGGGUCAGAUGGUGACCUUGAAAUCAUCAGUUCCCAUUGCAAGAAACAGGGCUCCUUGGAGAAAUUGCUAAUUCAAGGUCUGGGUCAAGAAGUAUACAAAAGAGACUGGAAUGGAUCAUUUUGUUGUACCAAAAGGAUAAAAUAAAAACAAACUCAGUUUAUUAUUCACUGUUGGAGGAUACUAGAAAAGCAAUUCAUUGUUGAUUUUUAAAAAAAGGAAAAAUAAGAAAAGCAAGCAUUUGUACUGUUUUUCCUAGGAGGAGAUAUCUCUCCUUAUAUAAUGUUUAUAUAAAUGUUUUGACUAAUAAAUAAGAAAAUAAUAAUAGAAUUAACCAUCAAUGGCAGCAUCACAAAAAGAGAUGUAACCAGAUACUAUGUGCAUUUUUUUGGGGGGGUACUGGGGAUUGAACCCAGGGUGCUUUACUACUGAGCUAUACCUCCAGCCAUUUUUAUUUUUAUUUUGAGACAGAGUCUCACUAAGUUGCUGAGGCUGGCCUUGAACUCGAGAUCUUUUUUCCUCAGCCUCCAGAGUCACUGGGAUUGCAGGUAUGCACCACCAUGCUUGUCUAUUAUAUGCUUCUAGAUGGACAAAGAAACUACCACCUUAUGAAUUUCCUGUGUCUGCUGUAACAAAGUAUCAUAAACCGAGUGUCUUCAAACAAUAGAAGUUUAUUCUCUCACAGUUCUGGAAGCUAAAAAUCCAAAAUUGAGGUGCUCACAGUCUGUGCCCCUUCAAAGUCUCUAGGGGAAGAGCCUUCUUUAACUCUUCCUCUUUCCUCCCUCUCUUCCUUCCUUCCACUGGGGAUGGAACCCGGGGCCUUGUGCAUGCCAGGUAAGCACUUGACAACUGAGCUACACUUUCAACCCAACUGCUGGCAAUCUUUGAUUUCCUUGAUGGCAUCAUAACUUCAAUCUCUGUCUCCAUCUUCACAUGAUGGUCUUCUCUCCAUAUGUGUCUGUUUCCAAAUUGCCCUCAUCUUAUAAGGACAGCAGUCAUUGGAUUUGGAGAAACCUAAUCCAAUAGGACCUCAUCUUUAACUUGAUUUUUAUCUGCAAGGGCCCUAUUUUCAAAUAAGGUCACAUUCACAGGUUUCAGAUGGACAUGACUUUUGGAGAGAGUAUUCAGCCCAGAAUAUUCUACCUAUGAGAAAAAUCAAACAGGAAUUUAUUCGAACCCAUACAGUCAAGUAAAAAUUUACAGGCAAUGAAUGAGACUGAAAAACAAGUUAAAUGACUUCACGGGGAUGCAAAUGGCCAACUCCAGACUAGGGGGAAACUCUACAGGACAGAAAACCUGAUAUCUUCAACAAAUAAAUUGCAAGGAAAAAUAUCAUAAAGGAGGAACCUAUAGUUUAAGAUAGACUAGAUAUAGUUUAAGAUAGACUAGAUAUCCACUAGUAGUGAUAUCUAGACUUUAUUUGGAUCCCAAUCAAACAAACAUUAAAAUAUGACCACAUCUUUGACACUUGAGAGAUGAUUAGAAAUUUGAACACUAGUUGAAUCUCCACUGAUAUUAAGGAAUUAUUGUGUUUUACAAAAUAUGGAAUAAUAAUAGUAGUGUUUUGGUUAUGUUUUUGUUAAAGUGUCCUUUUCUUUUUAAGACACAUAGUAAAUGUAUUGAUAAAAUGGCUUAAUGCCUGGGAUUUGUUUCAAAAUAAUAUGGGAAUGGGAGAUGUAGGUGAGAAUAUGGCUGUAACAAGAGGAACCAUCAAUGGGUAAUUUUUGAAGUGAUGAGUAUAUGUGAGGUUCACACACUCUUCUUUUUAUGUUUGAGAUUUUCCAUAAUAAAAAAAGUUUAAAAAAAAAAGAACAAGAAGAAAAAGAAGAUAUCAGGAUAAGCUUAAAUGAGGUGGCAUUUGUCAUAGAAUGCUCAGCCUAUACAGGGCCCCUGUCACCAUCUGGCAUCAAAAACAUAUUGUGUGGGACUGUGGUAGAAUAAUGAUGACCAGAAAUUCUUUCAUCCCAUUAAGAAGCAGAGCUAAGUCCCCUCCCUUUAAAUCCAUCCUGGCCUAAGAAUCUUGCUGAACCAAUAGAUAAUAGCAUAAGUGAAGUUCCAGAGCUUCUGGAGUAAAGUCAUAAAUAGCUCUGUGUUUCUAUUUAGCUCUCUUAGAACACUCUGGAAGUCUUGAGCUACCAAAAAAGAAGUUGUACCACCCAGUCAUUGUGGGGGCUAUACCCAGGAAACAGUCUCAGCUGAACUCCACCUUUCACCCUCCCCAUUAAGACUCCAGACCUAUAAGAGGACUCUAGGGAGACAAUCCAGCCCAGCCCAUCUGCCCUGUGAAAUACCAAAAUUACGUAGCUGAGAACACUACCUAAAUUCCUAACCAUAAAAUCAGGAGGUAUAAUUAAAUAGCUGUUGAAGCGACUGGGUUUGAGGUUGCUUUGAAGUAGCAAUAAGUAGCCAGAAUAGAGGUACAUACAAGUGUGGCUGAAUAUGUUUUCUAAGCAAGGGAAGAGUAACACAAAAGUCAGGAUAAUGUUUCUUGGGGAGGGAGAUGAAAAUAGUAAAAGGCAUGGGAGUGACCUGGGGAAGGACGCAGGUACAUUAAAAAAUAUGGGUAUAGGACCCUAUAUUUGAAGUGGGUGUUAUAAAGGGUUCUCAAGUGUGCAUUUUAAUGUUACAUACAAAUUAAAUAAUAUUGUAUAUACAAAAUUACAUAUAUAUCAAGCAAAUGUGGAAAAAAAUUAAAAUUUGUUAAAGCUGAGUAGUUAUACACAUCCGCAUUAUUAUUUUAUAUGCUUUAUGUUCAAAAUAUCUUAAAAUAUUUUUAAAUUAAUAUGGCAUCUAUAGGACAAAAUCAGAAAAAACACAUGCGUAGAAAAAAAUUCACGAAAACGUGAGUUCUUAAAUUAUUAUUAUUAUUUGUUAUUGCAGUGCAAAGAUGGAACCUAGGCCUUAUUCAUAUGCAUGUUAGGCAAGCAUUCUACUGCUAAGCCACAUCUGCCCUCCCUGCCCCAAGUUUAGUUAUUAUUAUCUCAGAGAGUUUCUUGCGCUUUUUAAACAUUGUGGUAACAUACACAUAAUAGCAUAAAAGUGGCUAUUUUCAGGCUGGUGAUGUAGCUUAGUGGUAGAGUGUUUGUUUUCCUAGCAUUCAUGAAGCCUUAGGUUCAAACCCCAGCACUGAAAAAAAUACCAUUUUAAUCAUUUUUAAAUGUCCAGUUCAGGGGCUUUAAACACAUUUACACUGUUGUGCAAUCAUCACCACUAUCCAUUUCCAGAACUUUUUCAUCAUCCAAAACAAGUUCUGUGCAUAAUGACUAACACCCCUCUCUCUCCUACUCCCCUCCCCCCCCCGCCAUGGCAAACACCAUUGUACUUUUUGUCUUUAAAAGUUUGAAUACUCAUAGAACCACAAAACUCAUAUAGGUAGAAUUAUAUAUUUGUCCUUUUGUGUCUGCCUUAUUUCACUUAGCAUAGUGUCUUUAAGGUUCAUUUGUAGUAUAUGUGUCAGACUUUUCUCCCUUUUUGUGUCAGUCAGGUUUCCACUUCUGUAACAAAUACCUGAGAUAUUAAAAAUGAGAAAAUGUUUGUGUCGGCUAAUAGUUUGGGAAGUUUCAGUUCACAGUAGGUUGUCCCCAUUGUUUUGGGGUCUGUGGUGAGGGAGCACAUCAUAGCUGGAUUAGGUGGCAGAUGAAGCUGUUUGCCUCAUAACAGGAAGUGGAGAGAGAAGAAGGAAGAGACUGUGAGCCCCAUAAUCCCCUUUGAGGGCAUGCCACCAAUGACUUAACUUUCUCCCACUAGAAUCUCCCUCUGAAAGUCUCCACCACCUCCCAAUAGUACCACAGGCUGGGAACCAAGCCUUUAGCAACAUGGGCCUUUGAGGGACACUUAUCCAAACCAUAGCACAUUUUAAGACUGAAUGGUAUUCUAUUGAAGAUAUAAUUUGUUCAUCCAUCAGUGGAUAUUUGGGUUGCUUCUACCUUUUGGCUAGUAUGAAUAACCCUACUGAAUUGCAGAAAGCACACCCGAAAAAAAUCAUAUUCUCUGAGCAAAUGUCUGGACACUGGACACUGGACACUGGCAAGAGUUAAAAGAAAGUUCAGAAGAAGGAAGCACUUGGACUGGGUCAUAAAAACCCAGUGUAUUUUACUGGAAAGAGCCCUGAAGAUGAAGGGUCACGUUCUAUCGUUGCCCUCAAUUCUCUGCAUGACUUCUCUCUGUGAGUUAUUUCCUCUCUGUAACUCGAUUUCCUCUUCUGUAAAAUGAGGGUCGGAUUGAUCUGUUAUCAAAGGGAAGCUCUCCCUCCCUCCCUGCCUCCCCCACCCCCAGCCUCUCUUGGAAUAUUCCCAACUAGGAGGAGUGCAUUCUGCACUGACCAAAUUCUAGAAAUUUUUAUUGAUUCAGAAAUUCAGGAGCUGGAUCUUUUUUUUUUCACUGGUAAAUGAGAAGGGUUAAGAUCAGUGCUCAAAUCAGGGGAUUUCUCUCUUUCUCAGGCCUGGAAAUGAGAUCUGUCCUUUAGGAAAGGGUCCCACCCAUAGUCUACCCCUGUUUCACACACUUUGUUUACCAGUAACCGGAUUGAGGCCUAGGGGAGAGGAGGCCACUUGGAGCACUGAGCUUAGCAAAGCAAGUUUUCUGUGUGAUCAGACAUGGCUCAGAAGAAGGUCAAAGCCCCAGCUGAUUCUUGCUCAGUACCAGGUGGCAGACAGAGGAAGGAAUUCCACUGUUCAAGGCCUCUCUGGCUCAGGAUUGCCUUAACCCUUGCUUCUCUCCCAUCCUUCUCUCUUCCCACAAGUUAAGGAGUACAGAGCUAGGUACCAAGUCAAUAUGCUCUAAUAUAAUGUGAUAAGGAAAAAUGCUUUAGAAAAACUUAAAAGAGAAGCAUACACAUUUCAGUAAAAGGACAAGUUGAGCUGUAGUUAUUUAUUGCUAAGCAGAAUGAGGGCAUAUAGCAUCAAGACACAGGAAGAAUAGUCUGAUUUUUUUUUUUUGGUGCUGGGGAUUGAACCCAGGGCUUUGUGCAUGUGAGGUACACACACUACCAACUGAGCUAUAGCCCCAGCCCCUGAAUAUCUCUUUAUAAUUGAAUAGUUUUGCCUCACGAGUGCGACUUCAGCUUUAAGGAGUAUGACAGAUAUAUUUUGAAAAUAAUGUCUGGUGAUAUGGACUUGCUAGAGUAGGAAUGAUUCUUUGGGGGAAAACAGUUCCCCCAGAGCGAUUUUAGAAGGCUGGGGGGAACCCUAGUUCUUCUUCUAAUGUGGUGCAAUUGAGGGAUAUUAAAACCUUUGGUAGGUGCCUUGUCAGAUCAUGGGCUGGGUAUGUUACUAAAUAGUUCUGUCUCAUCUCUUACCAGAGCAAGGACUGCUUAAAAUGGGCAGGUGGGGCGGGGGCAAGUUCACAUGUGCCCUCCAACCCAAUUUAAUGGAGCUUGACAUAAUUUGUGGGGAAAUGCAGGGGGCAUGCAGGUGUGUACCAAACUGGCAAGUGUGCCAUGAGACCCUGGGCAAGUAUCCAAGCACCGCCUUCCUGAAUUGCUCCUAGAGGAAAAGGAGCCUGUUUCAACUUUCUUUACUUCUUAAAGUGUUCCUUUGAUUAGACAGGAGAUAGCAGUCUGUUUAGCAAUAUUACUAUUAUUAUUCUGUCAUGGUUAUAUUUUUAAAGUAGACUUUUUCUUUUGCCAAGAGCAAAUGGAAAGACACAUUUGUACUUGUAAAUCCAACUGAAGCUUUGCAAGGUUUUCCAAGAUAGGUUGAAAAUGUAUUAUAGGUUCACUGAUGCUCAAACAGGAAUUUUCCCCCAUCCCCAGGUCAAGGAUUCAGACUUCUUAAGAGAACUUAAUACAAACUCUUUUUAAAAAUAAAAUAAGCUUUAUUAUUGCUGUAGAAGUAACACAUUUUGUUUAUACAAGAAUUACUUGGAAAAUACAUAAAAGUAUAAAAAGAAAAACAAGCAUCACUUAUGAUACUAGAAACUCAGGCAUAACUGCUGUUCACAUUUUGUUAUAUUUCUUCCCAGCCUUUUUUCCAUAGAGAGAUACAAAACUAUGCAUGCAAAAUGUCCCCAAUAUAUACUUAUAUUACAUAUUCAGGAACAUAUUGCAAAAAUAAUUCUGCACCUUACUUUUAGUAUGAAAGCAAUCCACAGAUAACUACUACUAGAUUUAUUUUUUGUUUCUUCCCUCCAUCCUUUUGCCUGUAUAUUGAUACAAAACUAUGCAUGCAAGAUGUUCCCAAUAUAUUCAUAGUGCAUAUUAGGAACACAUCGCAAAAACAGUUUAGCAUCUUUCUUUGAUCUCUUAUAGUGCUACAAUUCAGAGGUAACCACCUUCAAACUUUAGGUUUACUUCUUCCUGGCCUUUUUUCCAUAUUAUUGAUACAAAACUACAAAUGCAAAAUGUUCCCAAUACAUUCUUAUUACAUAUUAGGAACACAUCGCAAAAAUAGUUCAGCAUCUUUUUUUUUCCCCAUGCUAGGGAUUGAACUCAGGGCCUCACACAUGCACUCUACCACUGAGCCCCUCACAUCUUUUUUUGAUCACACAUUAGAUCAUAACUCAUAGAUAACCACUAUGAAGUGUUGAUGUAUUUCCCCCUAGCCUUUUAUCUGGAGAUUGAUACAAAACUAUAAAGAUAGAAUGCUCUGAAUGUACUUAUAUUUCAGAGAAGAGAAAAAACAAAAAAAAAGUGUUUCUUUUAUCACUAAACAUUUUACCAUACUUCUUUUUUUCUUUUUUGGUGGUGCUGGGGAUUGAACCCAGGGCCUUGUGUACAUGUGAGGCAAGCACUCUACCAACUGAGCUAUAUCUCCAGCCCGUGAGUACAUUUUUAUGUCACAAGAGUUAUUUUCAGAAAUAUUAUUUUAGAUGAAAGCACCCUAUUCCAUUGUAUUAAAUACACUGUAUUUUAUUUAGUCAAUCCUCUGUUGUUGGCCAUUCAGGAUGGUCUCAAUUUCCAUCCUUAAAAAUACUGAAAUGAAAAUAUUUUUCUGGUUUUAUGACUUUCUGUUCACGCAGUUUCAUGUUUUUCUUGGCUACUUGUAUGGAGUCAACACAUUAAAGAUGACCUUGUGUCUAUAAUGCUUACAGCUAAUGUAUUUCCAGUUGUUUUCUUGAGCCUAAAUUCUUCGUUUUAACAUCCUAGCCUGAAUAUAAAAUCACAUGUCCUGUGUAAAUUUCAAUUCACUAAAUAAAAAUUUAAAAGAUAAAGACACUUCCACUAAACUCCUAUGAGAAUACCAUUCAAUGCCCCACUGCAUGGCACCCAAUUUCCUCCUGAUCUUUUCAUAGAUUGAUCUUGUAAUACUUACAAUACAUAUUGCUAUGAAGAUGAGUGGCUCCCAGACCUUUCAGUUAUCAAUCUGUCACAAGUGCACAGUGGUAUCUCGUGACAUGAUGAUCCCCGAGAUGUCUGAGGUCUCUGCAUCGUUGGCCCAAAAUUGCUGUAUCGCCCAUGACCCCUAAAGACUUUUUAGAGAAUUACGUUUGACAGUGUAAAAAAAAAAAAAAAAAACAGCAUAACAACAACAAUGACAACAACAAAAAAUACAUGGAAAAGUACAGAAAGGAGAAACUUUUGGUCCUAUUCUACCACCAUUAAGCAACAAGAAUAUUUGUUUUGUAUGUUCCCUCCAGUUUUUGCUCCUAGUUUUCAGUUAAUUGAGUCUGUGGGAUUUUCUGGCCCUGAUUUUUAAAACUUGUUUUGUAAGCAUUUUCCAGGCUUCUAGGUCAUUUUUACAAUUAUCACAGCCAUAAAAGGUACUAUUGAGUGAGGGACUAAAUUAACAAUUAUGGUUGGGCAUUCCCUUUGCUUUCCCUCAAUUUGGCUGAAUCUAUAGAAAAUAUUAAAUAUGGGCUAAAGAUUUCAAAUGAAUUUAAAUCAUACUUUUUUGGCUUGUGCCCAUUGACUUGUAUACACAGCUGGGUAACUUACAAUCAUUAGUGAUAACUGAGGCUAAUCAUGGGCCUCACCCAGAAAGUGUCCAGAUCAUCAGUUUCACCUGGACUAAUCAGCUUAACCUGAAAUUUUUCUAACAAAACAUAUUAACUACUUCAAUUCCAGUCACUACUGUGUAGUCAGUUCUGAUUAAUAGAUUUAGAGGAAGAGGUCCUAGAAGCUAGUCUCUGAUGUGUCCUUAACCCCCAGGAAUCCUAGUUUUCUGUUUGUAAUUGUUUUUCUCUGCCUUACUCUACUUAUCUUUUAAGGUUGCCGCAAAUAACAGAUAGGAAAACAUCUAGAAAAGUAGGUAAAAGCACCAUACAAAGCAAGAUGUUGGAAUUAUGAUGAAUCUGAAGAUUGUAUCUCUGCCACAAGGGUCUGGCCAGGAGUGGAGUUGGGGACUGAGAACAGGUGAAGGUGCUGCCUCAGGACAGCCAGAGUUCAAAGUAACCAAGUCUCAGCCUGCUGCAUGCACUGUUUUUGGCUUCCUGACUCUACUGCUGAAGGCAGGGCCACCACCCCACUCUCCCACCAGUUGCUCAGAUUCUAGAGCUCAAUAGUUUAAGGGGAGUGCUCCAGGGCUGCAGCAACCACGGGAAGCAGAAUUCUUUCUGGGCUCCUCCCUAAUGACUCAAUUUACUAUUCUCAUGGGGCUUAAGCCCUUUUGAAUUUACUGAAGAGAUCAAUUGUGGAGCCAGGGAUAGGUGGUUAUCAGGAAAGAAUCCAGAGAUCCUUCUUCAUUUAGUAAGCAGUAACUAACUAAUGGAUGGGCAUGAGUGGGGGUACAGGGGCAGGGAGAUACAUAUUUUCUGCAAUUGGUGUAUAUACACUGUUUUUCAUUUGAGAAUAAUGUAAUAACUUAAAGUAUAAAAGCGUAUAUGAAGCUUUAGGGUUAUGAGACUAAUACUGCAGGCCAACGGAAAGACAGAUCUUUAGAAAUUUAUGCCAACUUGGAUAUAUUCCUAGACUUUAACUUACGUCAAUAAACUUUCAUUGAUCUUCCCCAA